rnacentral:rRNA from 1 species
UACAGAGGGUGCAAGCGUUGUUCGGAAUUACUGGGCGUAAAGAGCGCGUAGGCGGUACACUUAGUCAGGAGUUAAAGACCCGGGCUUAACCUGGGGGAGGCUUCUGAAACGGGUGAACUAGAGUGCAGAAGGGGAGAAUGGAAUUUCCGGUGUAGAGGUAAAAUUCGUAGAUAUCGGAAGGAACACCAGUGGCGAAGGCGAUUCUCUGGGCUGCAACUGACGCUGAGGUGCGAAAGUGUGGGGAGCAAAC